UACGUAGGGGGCAAGCGUUGUCCGGAAUCAUUGGGCGUAAAGAGCGUGUAGGCGGUCCGAUAAGUCCGCUCUGAAAGCCCGGGGCUCAACCCCGGGAGGCGGGCGGAUACUGUCGGGCUAGAGUCCGGAAGAGGCAAGUGGAAUUCCUGGUGUAGCGGUGAAAUGCGCAGAUAUCAGGAGGAACACCGAUGGCGAAGGCAGUGUUCUGGGCCAGUACUGACGCUGAGGAGCGAAAGCGUGGGGAGCAAACAGG
rnacentral:rRNA from 1 species